UACGGAGGGUGCAAGCGUUGUCCGGAUUUAUUGGGUUUAAAGGGUGCGUAGGCGGCCCUGUAAGUCAGUGGUGAAAGCCUCCAGCUCAACUGGAGAACUGCCAUUGAUACUGCAGGGCUUGAGUACAGACGAGGUUGGCGGAAUUGAUUGUGUAGCGGUGAAAUGCAUAGAUACAAUCAAGAACUCCGAUUGCGUAGGCAGCUAACUAGGCUGUAACUGACGCUGAGGCACGAAAGCGUGGGGAGCGAACAGG
rnacentral:rRNA from 1 species